rnacentral:rRNA from 1 species
UACAGAGGGGGCAAGCGUUGUUCGGAAUUACUGGGCGUAAAGGGCGCGUAGGCGGCCAACUAAGUCGGACGUGAAAUCCCCGGGCUCAACCCGGGAACUGCGUCCGAUACUGGAUGGCUUGAAUCCGGGAGAGGGAUGUGGAAUUCCAGGUGUAGCGGUGAAAUGCGUAGAUAUGCGGAGGAACACCGAUGGCGAAGGCAAUCCCCUGGGCCUGCACUGACGCUCAUGCACGAAAGCGUGGGGAGCAAACAGG